rnacentral:rRNA from 1 species
UGAAAAAGAACCUGAAACCGUGUACGUACAAGCAGUGGGAGCACCCUUUUGGGUGUGACUGCGUACCUUUUGUAUAAUGGGUCAGCGACUUAUAUUCUGUAGCAAGGUUAACCGUAUAGGGGAGCCGCAGGGAAACCGAGUCUUAACCGGGCGUUAAGUUGCAGGGUAUAGACCCGAAACCCGGUGAUCUAGCCAUGGGCAGGUUGAAGGUUGGGUAACACUAACUGGAGGACCGAACCGAC